GACGAACCGUGCGAACGUUGUUCGGAAUCACUGGGCUUAAAGGGCGCGUAGGCGGGUCACCAAGUCCGGGGUGAAAUCUUUCGGCUUAACCGGAAAAUAGCCUUGGAUACUGGUGGUCUCGAGCGAGGUAGGGGCCGUUGGAACUUCCGGUGGAGCGGUGAAAUGCGUUGAUAUCGGAAGGAACGCCGGUGGCGAAAGCGAACGGCUGGACCUCUUCUGACGCUGAGGCGCGAAAGCCAGGGGAGCAAACGGG
rnacentral:rRNA from 1 species